AUUGAACGCUGGCGGCAGGCUUAACACAUGCAAGUCGAGCGGAGGCUUCGGUCUUAGCGGCGAACGGGUGAGUAAUACCUAGGAAUCUGCCUAUUAGUGGGGGAUAACGAAUCGAAAGGUUCGCUAAUACCGCAUACGUCCUACGGGAGAAAGGGGGGGAUCUUCGGACCUCUCGCUAAUAGAUGAGCCUAGGCCGGAUUAGCUAGUUGGUAGGGUAAAGGCCUACCAAGGCGACGAUCUGUAGCUGGUCUGAGAGGAUGGCCAGCCACACUGGAACUGAGACACGGUCCAGACUCCUACGGGAGGCAGCAGUGGGGAAUAUUGGACAAUGGGGGCAACCCUGAUCCAGCCAUGCCGCGUGUGUGAAGAA
rnacentral:rRNA from 1 species